rnacentral:rRNA from 1 species
AAUGAACGUUGGCGGCAUGGAUUAGGCAUGCAAGUCGCGCGCGAAACGUAGCAAUACGUGAGAGCGGCGAAAGGGAGAGGAAUACGUGGGAACCUACCUCGGGGCCUAGAAUAGCGGCGGGAAACUGCCGGUAAUGCCAGAUAACGUCUCCGGACCAAAGGUGUGAUUCCGCCUGGAGAUGGGCCCACGUCCUAUCAGCUUGUUGGUGUGGUAAUGGCGCACCAAGGCUAAGACGGGUAUGGGGUGUGAGAGCAUGCCCCCACCCACUGGGACUGAGACACUGCCCAGACACCUACGGGUGGCUGCAGUCGAGAAUCUUCGGCAAUGAGCGCAAGCUUGACCGAGCGAUGCCGCGUGCGGGAUGAAGGCCCUCGGGUUGUAAACCGCUGUCGUAGAGGAGUAAUGGUCAGGGGGUUCUCCCUCUGAUUUGAACAAUUCUAGGAGGAAGGACGGGCUAAGUUCGUGCCAGCCGCCGCGGUAAUAC